GACGCCAGAAACCACCUCACGCGCCGAUCUCAUCAGUACCCAGAAAUGCUCUGGGCACCCAUUGUUCGGCCAUGGCCGCUCCACCUCUUCUUUUUCUCGUUGUUUCCUCCUCUUUUCCUCACUCCUGCAGAAUUCUCCGAUUCUCGAAACGAAGAUGCUUCUCCGUUUGCUUCUGGGUCGGGCCUGCACGAGUGCAGAUUGGAUUUUCUAGGUGGCGGCGGCGAGGGGCUCUGGGCGCGGUCAACCUGGCUUGGGAUCAGGUCUCGGAUCCUGCAUCUCGGUGCUGGCUAGCUCCUCUGCUGGCCAAUGCCAGUGGCUAGUGGCUAUGCGGUUCUUUGCAGCGGUCUGGGUUCGGGCGCGAUCUUUGCAGUCGUGGGAUUUUACCUGGAUUUUAGUCGGGCUAGGCGGAGACUAGGCGUCCUUGGCGGGUUGAGCUAGGCGCUGGGCGCUAGGAGAAAUCCAAAUCGACUCUAGGUUUAGUACUGUGCAAUGACUGUAGUCGCCGUCUUUCCUCUAUCUCUCUCUCCGGCACGGCCGCGUGGCCUCCUUUGCUCUCCAUCCUCUCCUCGACGGUGACGCCGUGACGGACUGACGGUGGUACUUGCCUAAUUGUCGAAGUCUCAAACUGGUCAUUGCUUUUGGUUGCUCUCUUCCAAAUUCUGGGUUCGAUUCUUCAGUCGAAGUCUUGCUUGAAACUGUUGGAUGACUUGGAUCGUGGCAGCAAAUAAUCCAAGCAUUGGUCUAUCAGUGUAUCUGUUAUUCUGUUUUGAACUUGUAGACUUUUUGGGCAUUUAGCAUUUGGCAUCUGUUUUUCCAAUAUUGAAAUUGUAUCUGAUAAUGAUAGGAAAUUAGGAAUCAUAGGAUUGAUAGCUAUUGAUAUUGACUGAUGCUCUGAUGGACAACUGGACAAGUC